GACGAACGCUGGCGGCUUGCUUAACACAUGCAAGUCGAACGGAAAGGCCCUGCUUUUGUGGGGUGCUCGAGUGGCGAACGGGUGAGUAACACGUUAGUAACCUGCCCUUGACUUUUGGAUAACUUCAGGAAACUGGGGCUAAUACCGGAUAGGAGCUCCUGCUGCAUGGUGGGGGUUGGAAAGUUUCGGCGGUUGGGGAUGGACUCGCGGCUUAUCAGCUUGUUGGUGGGGUAGUGGCUUACCAAGGCUUUGACGGGUAGCCGGCCUGAGAGGGUGACCGGCCACAUUGGGACUGAGAUACGGCCCAGACUCCUACGGGAGGCAGCAGUGGGGAAUAUUGCACAAUGGGCGGAAGCCUGAUGCAGCAACGCCGCGUGCGGGAUGACGGCCUUCGGGUUGUAAACCGCUUUCGCCUGUGACGAAGCGUGAGUGACGGUAAUGGGUAAAGAAGCACCGGCUAACUACGUG
rnacentral:rRNA from 1 species